rnacentral:rRNA from 1 species
UACGGAGGGCGCAAGCGUUGUUCGGAAUUACUGGGCGUAAAGCGCGUGUAGGCGGUCUGGUAAGUCGGUUGUGAAAUCCCCGGGCUCAACCCGGGAACUGCAUCCGAAACUGCUGGGCUAGAGUUCCGGAGAGGAAGGCAGAAUUCCCAAUGUAGGGGUGAAAUCCGUAGAUAUUGGGAGGAAUACCAGUGGCGAAGGCGGCCUUCUGGACGGUGACUGACGCUGAGACGCGAAAGCGUGGGGAGCAAACAGG